rnacentral:rRNA from 1 species
ACGAACGCUGGCGGCGUGCUUAACACAUGCAAGUCGAACGGAAAGGCCCCUUUGGGGGUCCUCGAGUGGCGAACGGGUGAGUAACACGUGAGUAACCUGCCCUUGACUUCGGGAUAACUUCAGGAAACUGGGGCUAAUACCGGAUAGGAAUCCUUGCUGCAUGGUGGGGGUUGGAAAGCUUCGGCGGUUUUGGAUGGACUCGCGGCUUAUCAGCUUGUUGGUGGGGUAGUGGCUUACCAAGGCUUUGACGGGUAGCCGGCCUGAGAGGGCGACCGGCCACAUUGGGACUGAGAUACGGCCCAGACUCCUACGGGAGGCAGCAGUGGGGAAUAUUGCACAAUGGGCGGAAGCCUGAUGCAGCAACGCCGCGUGCGGGAUGACGGCCUUCGGGUUGUAAACCGCUUUCAGCAGGGGCGAAGCUUGUGGUGACGGUACCUGCAGAAGAAGCACCGGCUAACUACGU